rnacentral:rRNA from 1 species
GAAGCCCCCCUCAAGAUGAGAUUUCCCAACUUCGGUUAUAAGAUCCCUCAGAGAUGAUGAGGUUAAUAGGUUCGAGGUGGAAGCGUGGUGACACGUGGAGCUGACGAAUACUAAUCGAUCGAAGACUUAAUCAAUUU